GUAGUUUUAAGACAUGUCUGCAAAUUCUUUCAUCUUUUUCUCAUCAAGAUGUGGGUUCUCUAUUCCUCACCUUGAACCUGGGCCCACCUUAAUGAUUGGUUGGUCACCAGCAUAAAGAGGAAGUGAUAUUCUGUGACUUCCAGGCUGGGCCAUAGAAGCCAGGCAGUUUCCUCUUGGUUCCCUGGAUCACUUGCACUGGAGCUGCCACGUAAGAAGUCUGACCAUCCCGAGGCCUCUAUGCUGUGAGGAAGCCCAAAUUAGUCCACAUGGAGAUGCCCUGAGUCUACAAGAAAAGAGAGGACAGACAGAGAUGCUCCUCUAGACACCAUUUCGCUGAAACCACAUGAGGGUUCACCAAGCCAAGACCGCUGAGCUGAGCCUUUCCCAGGUUCCUGACCACAGAAACCAUAAGAGAUAAUAACGUGAUUGAUGGUGGCCAGACACAGUGACUCACACCUGAAAUCCCAGCACUUUGGGAGGCUGAGGUGAGAGAAUUGCUUCAGGCCAGGAGUUUGAGACCAGCCUAGGCAACAUGGGGUGAUCUUAUCUCUACAAAAAAGUCUAAAUAUUAACCAGAUGUGAUGAUCUAUGCCCCUUGAUAUGACUUUGCAGUUCCUUCUACUAAGAAGAUGAAUCCAUUUCUCCACCCGCUGAGUCUGGGCUGGUCUUGUGAUGUGCGUUAGUCAAUAGAAGUGGCUGAAGUGAUGGCGCGCCAGUUUUUAGCCUACACUUCAAGAAGCCUAUGGACUUCCACUUGCUGUCUUGAAACCCUGUUUGAAAAAGGUUCCCUGAGGACAAGGCCAGACUAGCCUGCUGGAGGGUGAGAGACCACAGGGAGCAGAGACAAG
rnacentral:lncRNA from 1 species